UACAGAGGGUGCUAGCGUUGUUCGGAAUCAUUGGGCGUAAAGGGCGUGUAGGCGGUUUGUUAAGUCAGGGGUGAAAUCCUGGAGCUCAACUCCAGAACUGCCUUUGAUACUGGGGAUCUCGAGUCCGGGAGAGGUGAGUGGAACUGCGAGUGUAGAGGUGAAAUUCGUGAGAUAUUCGCAAGAACACCAGUGGCGAAGGCGGCUCACUGGCCCGGUACUGACGCUGAGGUGCGGAAACGUGGGGAGCAAACAGGG
rnacentral:rRNA from 1 species